UUCUGCUGCCAAUUCCAGCCAUGCAACUAAACUUCCCACAGCAGUAAAACAAAGGUCACCUUUGUUUAAGUUCUGCUACCAGUGCGGUCGAUCUGCUGCUAUGAGGCUAACUGCUUGUACUCGCUGCCACAGCGUUUUCUAUUGCUCUGCAACUUGUAAACUUAAAGCAUGGGAUGAGAGACACAAGGAGGAGUGUCUGCCGGAAUCAGCCUCUCAUGACAGCUUCAAGAGAAUGUUCCUGUUGCAGAACCAACAAGACCCUAUAGAGUCAAGUAUUGUAUUGAAAUCUAUUAAAAUCCCCACAUCUUCAAAUGCCCAGUUCAAAUCCCAAAUUGUUGGAACUGAAGAUGUCUUGAAGACCCAACGUGUCAGCCUCAAUGAGAACUACAGCUACAACUGACAGAACGUGUGACUUGCUUGUAAAUUAUUUUGUACUUGAUUGGUCUAAUUCUGACUCUGCACUUCUUUCACUCAGCUUCUUGGUUUUUUUUGGGGGGGGGGUGUUUUUUGAGGCUUCAUAUUAAAUAAUAUUAUUUUCGAGUUUCGAGAGAUUUUUUUGCUAACGUUUAUGUACCUCCAUGGUUUUGUGAACUAGAUUAUUUACAAGUAUUGAUUCUGCAUAAAUUAAACCAAGCUUUUAUUUUUGUCAAUCUAUUCCAGAAAACUAUCAGAAAAUGUUUUUUUUUUUCACUUUCGUAGCUUGUAUAUAGAGCCAUCAUAGGGCCAAAUUUACCAUAUUUGUAGACUAAACUGUUCGUAGUGUGAUGCUCUGUGAGGGUAUAUUGACCUAAACAAUAAACCCAAUUAGGUAGGCUUCCUCAAAGAAUGGAUUUUCCAUGGUGCAAGUGCCAGUGCUGCUUCCAAAUAUGCUCUGCCAAAUCAGUUUCACAAUUAGGCUGUUGAUUGUAUUGUGAGGAAAGAUUUUUUUUUUGUUACACAUGUGCAUAUAAACCUUUACUUCAAAGACUUCUGGGGGUGGGUGGCACAUUUAAAGGUGUGUGUCUUCUGAACUGAAGACUGCUUUAUCUUAUAUGAACCCAGUAGUUCUCAAGUCAGAGUGCCACACUUCUGAGAAGCCGGAAAGGAACGUUUAACACUGAUGAUGGGAGUGAAACAUGAAGAGCUUUAAGUAAAGUCAUUUUUAAGAGUGACCAAUAAAAGACCCCCCCAAUU